rnacentral:rRNA from 1 species
UUAAGCGACCAAGCGUACACGGUGGAUGCCCUGGCAGUCAGAGGCGAUGAAGGACGUGCUAAUCUGCGAUAAGCGCCGGUAAGGUGAUAUGAACCGUUAUAACCGGCGAUUUCCGAAUGGGGAAACCCAGUGUGACUCGUCACACUAUCAUUAACUGAAUCCAUAGGUUAAUGAGGCGAACCGGGGGAACUGAAACAUCUAAGUACCCCGAGGAAAAGAAAUCAACCGAGAUUCCCCCAGUAGCGGCGAGCGAACGGGGAGGAGCCCAGAGCCUGAAUCAGCAUGUGUGUUAGUGGAAGCGUCUGGAAAGGCGCGCGAUACAGGGUGACAGCCCCGUACACAAAAGCGCAUAUACUGUGAGCUCGAUGAGUAGGGCGGGACACGUGGUAUCCUGUCUGAAUAUGGGGGGACCAUCCUCCAAGGCUAAAUACUCCUGACUGACCGAUAGUGAACCAGUACCGUGAGGGAAAGGCGAAAAGAACCCCGGCGAGGGGAGUGAAACAGAACCUGAAACCGUGUACGUACAAGCAGUGGGAGCACAGGUUUACCUGUGUGACUGCGUACCUUUUGUAUAAUGGGUCAGCGACUUAUAUUCUGUAGCAAGGUUAACCGCAUAGGGGAGCCGAAGGGAAACCGAGUCUUAAUUGGGCGUUAAGUUGCAGGGUAUAGACCCGAAACCCGGUGAUCUAGCCAUGGGCAGGUUGAAGGUUGGGUAACACUAACUGGAGGACCGAACCGACUAAUGUUGAAAAAUUAGCGGAUGACCUGUGGCUGGGGGUGAAAGGCCAAUCAAACCGGGAGAUAGCUGGUUCUCCCCGAAAGCUAUUUAGGUAGCGCCUCGUGAAUUCAUCUCCGGGGGUAGAGCACUGUUUCGGCUAGGGGGCCAUCCCGGCUUACCAACCCGAUGCAAACUGCGAAUACCGGAGAAUGUUAUCACGGGAGACACACGGCGGGUGCUAACGUCCGUCGUGAAGAGGGAAACAACCCAGACCGCCAGCUAAGGUCCCAAAGUCAUGGUUAAGUGGGAAACGAUGUGGGAAGGCCCAGACAGCCAGGAUGUUGGCUUAGAAGCAGCCAUCAUUUAAAGAAAGCGUAAUAGCUCACUGGUCGAGUCGGCCUGCGCGGAAGAUGUAACGGGGCUAAACCAUGCACCGAAGCUGCGGCAGCGACACUGUGUGUUGUUGGGUAGGGGAGCGUUCUGUAAGCCGUUGAAGGUGUGUCGUGAGGCAUGCUGAAGGUAUCAGAAGUGCGAAUGCUGACAUAAGUAACGAUAAAGCGGGUGAAAAGCCCGCUCGCCGGAAGACCAAGGGUUCCUGUCCAACGUUAAUCGGGGCAGGGUGAGUCGACCCCUAAGGCGAGGCCGAAAGGCGUAGUCGAUGGGAAACGGGUUAAUAUUCCCGUACUUGGUGUUACUGCGAAGGGGGGACGGAGAAGGCUAUGUUGGCCGGGCGACGGUUGUCCCGGUUUAAGCGUGUAGGCUGACUUUCCAGGCAAAUCCGGAGAGUCAAGGCUGAGGCGUGACGACGAGGCACCACGGUGCUGAAGCAACAAAUGCCCUGCUUCCAGGAAAAGCCUCUAAGCAUCAGGUAACAUCAAAUCGUACCCCAAACCGACACAGGUGGUCAGGUAGAGAAUACCAAGGCGCUUGAGAGAACUCGGGUGAAGGAACUAGGCAAAAUGGUGCCGUAACUUCGGGAGAAGGCACGCUGACAUGUAGGUGAAGCGGUUUACCCGUGGAGCUGAAGUCAGUCGAAGAUACCAGCUGGCUGCAACUGUUUAUUAAAAACACAGCACUGUGCAAACACGAAAGUGGACGUAUACGGUGUGACGCCUGCCCGGUGCCGGAAGGUUAAUUGAUGGGGUCAGCGCAAGCGAAGCUCCUGAUCGAAGCCCCGGUAAACGGCGGCCGUAACUAUAACGGUCCUAAGGUAGCGAAAUUCCUUGUCGGGUAAGUUCCGACCUGCACGAAUGGCGUAAUGAUGGCCAGGCUGUCUCCACCCGAGACUCAGUGAAAUUGAACUCGCUGUGAAGAUGCAGUGUACCCGCGGCAAGACGGAAAGACCCCGUGAACCUUUACUAUAGCUUGACACUGAACAUUGAGCCUUGAUGUGUAGGAUAGGUGGGAGGCUUUGAAGCGUGGACGCCAGUCUGCGUGGAGCCGACCUUGAAAUACCACCCUUUAAUGUUUGAUGUUCUAACGUGGACCCGUGAUCCGGGUUGCGGACAGUGUCUGGUGGGUAGUUUGACUGGGGCGGUCUCCUCCUAAAGAGUAACGGAGGAGCACGAAGGUUGGCUAAUCCUGGUCGGACAUCAGGAGGUUAGUGCAAUGGCAUAAGCCAGCUUGACUGCGAGCGUGACGGCGCGAGCAGGUGCGAAAGCAGGUCAUAGUGAUCCGGUGGUUCUGAAUGGAAGGGCCAUCGCUCAACGGAUAAAAGGUACUCCGGGGAUAACAGGCUGAUACCGCCCAAGAGUUCAUAUCGACGGCGGUGUUUGGCACCUCGAUGUCGGCUCAUCACAUCCUGGGGCUGAAGUAGGUCCCAAGGGUAUGGCUGUUCGCCAUUUAAAGUGGUACGCGAGCUGGGUUUAGAACGUCGUGAGACAGUUCGGUCCCUAUCUGCCGUGGGCGCUGGAGAAUUGAGGGGGGCUGCUCCUAGUACGAGAGGACCGGAGUGGACGCAUCACUGGUGUUCGGGUUGUCAUGCCAAUGGCACUGCCCGGUAGCUAAAUGCGGAAGAGAUAAGUGCUGAAAGCAUCUAAGCACGAAACUUGCCCCGAGAUGAGUUCUCCCUGAGACUUAAAGUCUCCUGAAGGAACGUUAAAGACGAUGACGUUGAUAGGCCGGGUGUGUAAGCGCAGCGAUGCGUUGAGCUAACCGGUACUAAUGAACCGUGAGGCUUAACCUU